GCCAGUUUGGCUCAGUGGAUAGAGCAUUGGCCUGCAGACCAAAGGGUCCCAGGUUCAAUUCUGGUUAAGGCA
rnacentral:tRNA from 1 species